rnacentral:lncRNA from 1 species
CUUUGGCAGAGCGGUGUCAUCGGGGGCCCUGUCAUUCCCUGCCACCUCUGCUCUGGCAUCAGGGGCUGAUGAGGGAGCACAAACACCUCGGAUCCAGGGCAGGGUGUGUUCAUCCCCCACUCCUGGAGAUGCUGCACUGGGAAGCUGCAGAUCCUCUGCCGUGUUGUCCUGCUCUGAUCUAUGAUCCAACUCCCAAAGUUCUGCACUGCCAAAGGACUCUGAUAGAAGGUCAAGCUUGUUGAUUAUGAAAAAGUAAUUGAAAUUUGUUUUAUUGGGGCAGGGGAAGCAAGGGAAG